rnacentral:tRNA from 1 species
GUCUAACAGUUGGUAAAGUGCUCCACUGGAAAUGGAGAUGUCCCGGGUUCGAUACCCGGACCAGGCA